rnacentral:rRNA from 1 species
GUGGAUUAGAUACCCUGGUAGUCCACGCCGUAAACGAUGAUGACUAGCUGUCGGGGCUCAUGGAGUUUCGGUGGCGCAGCUAACGCGUUAAGUCAUCCGCCUGGGGAGUACGGCCGCAAGGUUAAAACUCAAAGAAAUUGACGGGGGCCUGCACAAGCGGUGGAGCAUGUGGUUUAAUUCGAAGCAACGCGCAGAACCUUACCAGCGUUUGACAUGGUAGGACGGUUUCCAGAGAUGGAUUCUUUCCCUUACGGGACCUACACACAGGUGCUGCACGGUUGUCGUCAGCU